GCAGUUGCAGCUUCGUCUGUAUAUUUGCAGUGCUGAUAAACAAAGUGAGUCUGCAGGUCACAGUAGAGGCUGUUUUCGGUGGUUCUGUUGUCCUGCCGUGUUCUUCAGCUGAACAUGAUCUUAAACUUCAAGACAUUGAUGUGUUUUGGAGACACAAUGGCAGCAAGAUUGUGUUUGAUAUAAUCAAGGGUGCAGAUUCACUAGAGAAUCAGGGCCAAUGGUACAAGAACAGAGCUGAAACUUUCCCUGAAGAGUAUGUGAGAGGAAACUUCUCCAUCAAACUCUGGUCUCACUCACGCUGAUGCUGGAAAAUACAUCUGCCUCAUCACCCCCUCAGAUGAACAGGAGACUGUAGAGGUGAUCAUCAACGACUUGUUUGUUGCAGAAACAACAACAGAAAAAGGAAACAAAACCACUGAUCAAGAAAAUCAAGAAACCAGACCAGACCGUGUCGAGAAAUCGUGGCUUUGGAUCCUGGUUGUCAUUCUUUUAACCAUAAUACUGGGUUUACUUUUCUUUCUAAUUAUCUUUAGAAAAAAGAUCCCAAGCUGCCUUAUGUCAGGUGAACAUGGCCUGGGUUCAGACGCUCAUGAGGUUGUGAGCCCUGUCCCAUGUUAUAAAUCAGUAACUGCUGAUGAUCGUGCUGAAGUAGCAGAUGUGCAGCUUGGUGCACUGACAGCAAUUACACGAGCUUUCGCGCUAAACAAGAAGAAAAAAGGAAACGGGAACAUUUUUAGCUGAAGUUAAAGGAAAAUGAGGCUGUCAAUAUGAUGCUGCCUUAACAGUUCUGUACUGCAAGUGUUAUAUAUGUAUAUAUGUUAAUAUGUAGUGAACAUAUUCAUACUGAAAAUGUUUUAUUUUGUUCAAAUCUGCUUCGAU